rnacentral:tRNA from 1 species
GGGCGUGUGGUCUAGUGGUAUGAUUCUCGCUUUGGGUG